UUGUUUGAUGGCUGAGGUACAAGCGGUAGACUGUAGAUCUAUUAACGGAGUUAAGUCUCCUCAACAAA
rnacentral:tRNA from 2 species